CUCCACAGGUGAAUGGUUCCUAUUUAAAACUGGGGGAGAAGCUCACCAGAGAAGAGGAGAGGACCAGCCCUGAGCCCCGAACACGAAGUGGUGAGGCCAGGGAGAAGAGGCGGAGCAGGCAAAGGAGCACUGAGAUGCUGCAUUUUCAGGAUGUGACAUUUUUAUUCUGCAUGCAGUGAAUUUUGAAAAGGGAUGUUUUCGAGUACUUGAAAAUCACUUGAGAUGCAAAGACAAGGCCACAUUUUUUCCUCCUUCAC
rnacentral:lncRNA from 1 species